rnacentral:rRNA from 1 species
UGGGGAAUUUUGCACAAUGGGCGCAAGCCUGAUGCAGCGACGCCGCGUGAGGGAUGAAGGCCUUCGGGUUGUAAACCUUUUUCGCUCAUGGUCAAGCCGCAGCUUUGGGUUGUGGUGAGGGUAGUGGGUAAAGAAGCGCCGGCUAACUACGUGCCAGCAGCCGCGGUAAUACGUAGGGCGCGAGCGUUGUCCGGAAUUAUUGGGCGUAAAGGGCUUGUAGGCGGUUGGCCGCGUCUGCCGUGAAAUCCUCUGGCUUAACUGGGGGAGUGCGGUGGGUACGGGUUGACUUGAGUGCGGUAGGGGAGACUGGAAUUCCUGGUGUAGCGGUGGAAUGCGCAGAUAUCAGGAGGAACACCGGUGGCGAAGGCGGGUCUCUGGGCCGUUACUGACGCUGAGGAGCGAAAGCGUGGGGAGCGAACAGG